CACUAAGUGCAGCAUAUAUAUAAAUGCGUUUCAUCAUCAGAUUUGAAAUGGUUUUACGGUCGUAGAUUGAACUGCAAUCAGCGAGUGCUAUCAACUGCCAGAAACGGAGCCCCAAUCACGCUAAACACCCCUUGAGC
rnacentral:sRNA from 1 species